rnacentral:misc_RNA from 1 species
CCAAACUUGGUCAUUUAGAGGAAGUAAAAGUCGUAACAAGGUAACCGUAGGUGAACCUGCGGUUGGAUCAUUAACGAGUUUGAUAAUGACUUUUGGGUCAUUAUUUUAACACUGUGCACUGAAAAUGUAGUUUUUGGGUCUGAAAUAUGGCCCAAACAAUUUUAAAAACACCUAGCCAAUAUGACUAACGUUUGAAAAAAGAAACAACUUUUGACAACGGAUCUCUUGGCUCUCGCAUCGAUGAAGAACGCAGC